rnacentral:lncRNA from 1 species
AUGGCAUCUUCUACUGCUAAUGGUCUCUGGCCUAUAAUUGCUAACCAGCUCUUCCAGGGACUGACAGCCUGCAAUUUGAUAUUGACAAAGGGAACCAAUCUAUGGAGGGGUCAGGGGAAGAUGUUUUUUCCUAUUUGUUCACUAUCCCUUUCUUCUCUACAGAUCCUCUGACUUGAAUGGUAUUAGUACACUGGGAAAGUGUACACAGUUUAUAUCUGAAUAACCCAUAUGGUCCUCUGACUUUCAUUUUGAUGCAGAUGAAGGAGAGCUCUGCCUGUUGACAACCUCCAGUCUUGUAUGCAUGUACAGUCUUUUCCAUAGAUUAAUGAGAAUAAUAUGCAUAAAGUCUUCAUAUUUAUGUAUUUCUUUGUCAUCAUAACCAUUUCCCCACAGCAUAAAAAUAAGGAAGUUUAUUUGCAAAGGUAAAACCUCUAUGUUC